GUACUCACUUCAACAGUAGAGAUACUAAAAUUAUACCAUAAAGAUUAGCAUAGUCCCUACACAAGGAGGGUGUGAAAAUUCCCGAGACCAUCUGUAUUUUA
rnacentral:snRNA from 14 species